CCUACGGGAGGCAGCAGUGAGGAAUAUUGGACAAUGGACGAAAGUCUGAUCCAGCCAUGCCGCGUGCAGGAUGACGGCCCUAUGGGUUGUAAACUGCUUUUAUACAGGAAGAAACACUCCCACGUGUGGGGGCUUGACGGUACUGUACGAAUAAGGAUCGGCUAACUCCGUGCCAGCAGCCGCGGUAAUACGGAGGAUCCAAGCGUUAUCCGGAAUUAUUGGGUUUAAAGGGUCCGCAGGCGGUCUAUUAAGUCAGAGGUGAAAUCUUGCAGCUCAACUGUAAAAUUGCCUUUGAUACUGGUAGACUUGAGUCAUUGUGAAGUGGUUAGAAUGUGUGGUGUAGCGGUGAAAUGCAUAGAUAUCACACAGAAUACCAAUUGCGAAGGCAGAUCACUAACAAUGUACUGACGCUCAUGGACGAAAGCGUGGGGAGCGAACAGGAUUAGAUACCCUGGUAGUCCACGCCGUAAACGAUGGAUACUAACUGUUCGACCUUCGGGUUGAGUGGUUAAGCGAAAGUGAUAAGUAUCCCACCUGGGGAGUACGCUCGCAAGAGUGAAACUCAAAGGAAUUGACGG
rnacentral:rRNA from 2 species